AGGAGUGUAGUGUCAAUGGUUAGCACGUGAGUCUCCAAAACUCGAGGUGAGGGUUCGAAUCCUUCCACUCCUGCCA
rnacentral:tRNA from 1 species